rnacentral:lncRNA from 1 species
CGAAAUGUAUUAUUCACCCAGGAUAGCUUCCCAUGUGUCGAGGAAGGCCUCGAGGAUUACGGGGUGGUGGAGAUGAGAGUUCAGGGAAAGGUAGGAGUGGAGGAGCCUUUCCAUGUCGCUUGCGCUGCUCAUUUGCCGCUCCACGAUCAUCUCCACCAUGGAGCUUCGGAAAUCCAUGUACGGAUCACUGGACUUCUUCACCACAGGGAAUCCGACCUCCAUUUCUGCCUCUGCCUUGUGUUUCUUCUCUGCCGAGGAAAGGGAGGCCAAUGGCCAAAGCUUACCGGUUGCGGUCCCUCUCAAAGGUUGGUUGCUCUUCAUGCUCUUGCUCCCGCUCUUCUUCUUGUUCUUCUUCCUCCUCCCGUUGUUGUUGCAGUAGAACUCGGAGGAGUCGGAAGAAAAGCUCUUCGACGAGAACAGAGUUCCCGACUCUUCCUCUUCCUCGCCGCUGCUGAAGAGACCGAGUUCGCCGUUGCGAUCCAAGGAAGAAGAGCUGCUAAAUCCAUAACCGUUGCUUGACAACAGCUUCCUCGUUGCCUUUCUUCGGCUGCUUCCUCUCCUCCCACAAGCUUUCUUCUUCUUGUCUUCGUCGUGAGAGCGGUAGUAGCGAUUCCUCAUCGGAGAAUCCGGAGGAGCGGGAGGGCACUU